rnacentral:rRNA from 1 species
AUACUGAGGGUGCAAGCGUUAAUCGGAAUUACUGGGCGUAAAGCGCACGUAGGCGGUUUAUUAAGUCAGAUGUGAAAGCCCUGGGCUUAACCUGGGAACUGCAUUUGAGACUGGUAGGCUAGAGUAUGGUAGAGGAUAGUGGAAUUCCGGGUGUAGCGGUGAAAUGCGUAGAUAUCCGGAGGAACAUCAGUGGCGAAGGCGGCUAUCUGGACCAAUACUGACGCUGAGGUACGAAAGCGUGGGUAGCAAACAGGAUUAGAAACCCUAGUAGUCC